UUAAGGACAUGGCCACAUCCACUUCUUACUGGCUGGGUAGCCUGUGCCACUGCACAACACAACUUUGUGAAUGGACUCCCAGGGAACUGUGCCACCUGGCUGCCCCAGUGGGAUCCUGAGCAACUUCACUUAUGGCCGUCUCUGUUUCUUCAUCUAUGAAAUGGGGGUGUUAUUUGUGCCUUCUUUAAAAGGGUUUCUGUGAGGAGCCAAUGAGUUAACACCAAUAAAUUGUUUCAGCUCAUGCGUUAGGUCUGCUGAUGGUAAAUCAUUUUCUGAAAAAUCCUGUGCCUUCCAAAUAGAGUUCAUCUCCUGGUACAAGCUAGACUGCACCAUCUGAGGGAGCAGAGAGCUGGGGCCAUCUGGAGUUACACACGUUUUGCAUUUAAUGGGCAUGAGUAGUGUAAACCAACCAGAUGGGUCUGUUUAGGUCUGCCUUGAUGUUCCUUGGUGCUCUGGUUCCCACUUGUCAAGAAUGAGUAUUGGUACCAAGUCAAGCCUAUGAUGGAUUGAUCACAGAUACAGAACAAUCCCACACAGUUUAUUACAGGAAAGAGAAAGAAGCUAUACAAAGUGAAAGUGAAGAAGGAAGCCACAAAAAAAAAUGACACAAAGUGAAAAUACAUUCCAGAGAGAGGGGAACUGGUCAGUCUCCACAAAGUCUGACCACACCUUGUCUUUUAUAUGCUUACUAGUUUGUCCCACCUUUCUUCUGGCAGGAUUGGCUGCCAUUUCCCACCUUUGGGUGAUUGACAGGUUGGGGUUAUAUAACAGAUUAAAUAACAGGUUGGUUAUGUAAUGGUUUCCCUUUCUGCACAUGUGUCUUCCCCAGAAUCCUUCAUGAAAACUUCACCCAUGUGAAGCUAAUUACAUGGUAAUAAGCCUCAGGUUAGUUAAAGGUCACUAGGGGCUCCUUACUAUGUAUGUUCCCACAGGGAACAGUUCCUAGCAGCAAUUUGGUUCCUAGCUACAAUUCAGUCAGGGGCCUUUGCCACUUCCUUGCUUGCCUUGCCACCUGUUUGCCUUCCUCCAGACCCAACGUUCUGAACUGGCUCACUAUAAACCAUCUCC